UUAAACACACGAUUGCUCAACAUUAAUUGUUGACAAAAAUCGGAGCCUCAUCAAAUUGAGUUGUUCACCAAAAGGCAAGGCGGUUGGUGGUUCAGGGAACAUCGCGUGCUCCCUACCUGCGGGGUCAUCCAGGUGUCAGCGGGCCUCCAGGGGCCAGUCUGAGGUCCCAAAGGCCCACUGGAGUGGCACCUGGCCUGAGCCCUUCCUCUUACAGCAGAGUGACCGCAGGAGGUCAGGACCACAGAAUGAGAGGGGAAAGAUUUAAUCUCCAUAGGGGACAGGGGGGCAGGAAAUGGAAACCCACCAGUCCCAGAACACCUGUUUGUGCUCGUCUUCGGGGCAGCAGCUCCUAAGACAUGAACAAUUGGACCUCGUCGACAAGCCCUCACCGAGGACCAGAAAUCAAAAAGCAGGCUGAACAGCUUGCCCACCAGCCCCACUGCCCAUCAACCUGCUCGGGGGAAGCCAGAUGAGUGUCCGCUCACAUGACAGGGACAGUGGGCCUUGGGGGAGGGGACCCUGCCACGCUCAUCUGGAUGUGGGUGUGACAUUCCACGGGCACGCAGUGUUCAGCUCCAAUACCUUCCCCCCACCCCCAACCUCCUGCUGAGUGGGGUGGGGAUCUGGGCUCCUCACGGGAUGACGAGGCCCAAAUCCACUGGCUGAAGCUUUUAGAAAUCUGAGCCUGGAAACUCAUGAGCCCGACUUCUCGUUCUAGAUUUUUCCCUUCCUAUCCCACACUUCCUAGUCUGCUCACAAACAAGCUGGCCCAUUCCUCGGGACCAAAGAACAGUCGGCCAGAGCCCCAGACAGCACGUGGUCCAGAUUCUGAGAUGACCACUCGCAUCCAAAUGGAGCCCUUACCACAGAAUGACAACCUCCAGCCCAGCGCUGGGCUGGCCACCCCCAGACCAGGAAAGGGAUGUUGGGCGGGCAGCAGAGAAGAAAGGCACGAACGUCCACAAGAUGAGAUCCAGUCUGUGCAGAUCUGGGCCUCCCCGGCAGCAAACCUACUGUCUGAAGAUGCGUCCUCUCUUUUUUUGUGCACCUGGCCGCUACGGUGUCUAAAGUGACCCCUGAGAAACCUCUGCAUGGGGUCCCUCAAUGUCAGGGCUGCUAAAAAGGUCAGAUGCACAUAUAGUGGCUAAAACUUCCACCGAUCUUUGUGAUUCCAUGCAGAUCAAGGCCAGAAAGCAAGACCGAGAAAGAAGUGGAUCCUGGGCCCAGAACUCCUGCCUCUAUAACAUUUUUCUUUAGGUUCCAAGCAUAGCAACCCAUCUCUGGGGCAAAAAAAGUCAUCUCUGUGGCAAGGCCGGGAAGAUAUGGUAUGUAUGGUCCGUCCAUCCCGUGGAGUAUUACUCAACCAUGACAAGGAAUAAAGCACUGACACAACAGAGAUGAAGCUUAACGUCAUCACCCUGAGUGAGAGAAGCCAGAUGCAAAAGGCCUCCUCAUUAUGACUCCA